UUCCUUGGUCUGGUCACUCCCAAUCCUUGUACCAGUGUCGUUACCACGGUGACGCUGGACAGGUUUGGGGGGGGCUGUGCCAAGGAC
rnacentral:pre_miRNA from 11 species